CUAAGAAUCUUGCGCAAUGGGCGAAAGCCUGACGCAGCAAUUCCGCGUGGAGGACGAAGGCCCUCGGGUUGUAAACUCCUUUUGUGAGGGAAGAAGAUCUGACGGUACCUCACGAAUAAGACACGGCUAACUACGGGCCAGCAGCCGCGGUAAUACGUAGGGGUCGAGCGUUGUCCGGAUUUAUUGGGCGUAAAGCGCCCGCAGGCGGCCCGGCAAGUCCAGGGUGAAAUCUCCCGGCUCAACCGGGAG
rnacentral:rRNA from 1 species